CAGUCGCCGCGGUAAUACGGAGGGAGCUAGCGUUGUUCGGAAUUACUGGGCGUAAAGCGCACGUAGGCGGCUUUGUAAGUUAGAGGUGAAAGCCUGGAGCUCAACUCCAGAAUUGCCUUUAAGACUGCAUCGCUUGAAUCCAGGAGAGGUGAGUAGAAUUCCGAGUGUAGAGGUGAAAUUCGUAGAUAUUCGGAAGAACACCAGUGGCGAAGGCGGCUCACUGGACUGGUAUUGACGCUGAGGUGCGAAAGCGUGGGGAGCAAACAGGAUUAGAUACCCCCGUAGUCCCUGUCUCUUAUAC
rnacentral:rRNA from 1 species